rnacentral:misc_RNA from 1 species
AAGGCGUUCUUGCAGUUGGGG